ensembl:lincRNA 4933406I18Rik RIKEN cDNA 4933406I18 gene
CGCGCGCUCCCGUAGCUCGGCCGGUCGCCACUGGGGCGGCCGCGGCCCGCGUCAGGAUGCGCAUCCGGGACCCCGCGGGGGAGCGCGCGCCCACGGCCCGGCUGGUCGCUCCAGUGAGACAGCCGUCGCGUCAGGCUGCCAGACUUGGACCCCUCGGGGAGCGCGCGCGGGCCACCGAGAGCUCCACUGCUGAAGUCGGAACCCCUACCCCCCGGACUGCCACAGAGCGGCGAGCUCUUUGGCAGAUGGGAGGGACUGAUCACAGUCCUGAGACGCCCCGAAGCACAGUCCCCUUUGAGAUGUUAUGAAGAAUGUGCUAAUGGAGCCAGGCACUAAGACUGCUCUAUUAAAAUCAUCUAGCAUAUUGUAUCCACUUGUCUUCUAUGGAUGUACAAUUCAAGAAGAUCAAAGGUCCUUGCCGUUAUAAUUUAAGGAUCUGAGAUGAGCUCGUCCAGGUGGUCCUUAAAGCCAAGGGCAAGCAUCUUUAUGACAGAGAUGGAGACAAGGAUGAAGGAAAAGGACGUGUGCAGAUGGAAACCAAGACUGUAGUUAUGUUACCACAAAGCAGAGAACACUUGGAGUUACCAGAAGCUGGCCCAGUCUCAACAUGAUUUUGUAAGUGUCAUAUUUAAACCAUAACAGAGAAAGCAAUGUGAUCAUGGAAAUGGAAAAGGUGGAGACUGGAAUGACUCCAUAUCAGGACUCAACCUGUCACUACUGACUUUGAAGAUGGAAGGGACCUAAAAGACAGAAGCAGUAGGUGGCCUCUAGAGGACAGAAAAAGUAAGGAAGAGUUUGUUUUCUCCAGAGCCUCUAGGAAGGAGUUGGGCCCUGUGGACAACCAACUGGAUGUUAACCUGUGUAACAGCUCUGAUCUGCCAGCCUAUAGAAGAGUAAAAUGAUG